rnacentral:rRNA from 1 species
CGGCCACAUUGGGACUGAGACACGGCCCAGACUCCUACGGGAGGCAGCAGUGGGGAAUAUUGCACAAUGGGGGAAACCCUGAUGCAGCGACGCCGCGUGGAGGAAGAAGGUCUUCGGAUUGUAAACUCCUGUUGUUGAGGAAGAUAAUGACGGUACUCAACAAGGAAGUGACGGCUAACUACGUGCCAGCAGCCGCGGUAAAACGUAGGUCACAAGCGUUGUCCGGAAUUACUGGGUGUAAAGGGAGCGCAGGCGGGAAGACAAGUUGGAAGUGAAAUCCAUGGGCUCAACCCAUGAACUGCUUUCAAAACUGUUUUUCUUGAGUAGUGCAGAGGUAGGCGGAAUUCCCGGUGUAGCGGUGGAAUGCGUAGAUAUCGGGAGGAACACCAGUGGCGAAGGCGGCCUACUGGGCACCAACUGACGCUGAGGCUCGAAAGUGUGGGUAGCAAACAGGAUUAGAUACCCUGGUAGUCCACACUGUAAACGAUGAUUACUAGGUGUUGGAGGAUUGACCCCUUCAGUGCCGCAGUUAACACAAUAAGUAAUCCACCUGGGGAGUACGACCGCAAGGUUGAAACUCAAAGGAAUUGACGGGGGCCCGCACAAGCAGUGGAGUAUGUGGUUUAAUUCGACGCAACGCGAAGAACCUUACCAAGUCUUGACAUCCUGCGACGCACAUAGAAAUAUGUGUUUCCUUCGGGACGCAGAGACAGGUGGUGCAUGGUUGUCGUCAGCUCGUGUCGUGAGAUGUUGGGUUAAGU